GACGAACGCUGGCGGCGUGCCUAAUACAUGCAAGUAGAACGCAGUUGCGAACGGGUGAGUAACGCGUAGGUAACUGCCUCAUAGCGGGGGAUAAAUAUUGGAAACGAUAGCUAAUACCGCAUACAGUGAGAUGGACCUGCGUUGUAUUAGCUAGUUGGUGGGGUAAAGGCUCACCAAGGCGACGAUACAUAGCCGACCUGAGAGGGUGAUCGGCCACACUGGGACUGAGACACGGCCCAGACUCCUACGGGAGGCAGCAGUAGGGAAUAUUGGACAAUGGACGAAAGUCUGACGGAGCAACGCCGCGUGAGUGAAGAAGGUUUUCGGAUCGUAAAGCUCUGUUGUCAGGGAAGCGGUAUCUAACCAGAAAGCCACGGCUAACUACGUGCCAGCAGCCGCGGUAAUAC
rnacentral:rRNA from 1 species